rnacentral:lncRNA from 1 species
ACUUGAUUGGUUCACAAACAUCAACCUUGAUGAGAUACCAAAUUUAAGUGAGGAGAAAAAAGGAAGGAACCCGUUUGGUCCAGGUGUCUCAUUAGGGCUCAUAUGACGAACUAUAGGUUUAAUCUCCUCCUUAGUAAUUGCUGUAAUAAGAGAAUCAUCCUAGAACGAAAUCAGCUUAACUAGUGGUUCCAACACUCAGUCAG